GAUGAACGCUGGCGGCGUGCAUAACACAUUCAAGUCGAACGGUGAUGAGGACUUCGGUCCUCUGAUCAGUGGCGGACGGGUGAGUAACGCGUGAGCAACCUGCCCUAUAUUGCGGGAUAACAACCGGAAACAGUUGCUAAUACCGCAUGACGUAUUCGGAUCGCAUGUUCUGAAUACGUCAUGCGGUAUUAGCAAGAGAUGAGCUUGCGUCUGAUUAGCUAGUUGGUGAGGUAACGGCUCACCAAGGCGACGAUCGGUAGCCGGACUGAGAGGUUGAACGGCCACAUUGGAACUGAGAUACGGUCCAGACUCCUACGGGAGGCAGCAGUGGGGAAUAUUGGGCAAUGGGCGAAAGCCUGACCCAGCGACGCCGCGUGAGGGAAGAAGAUCUUCGGAUUGUAAACCUUAGUCAACAGGGAAGAAGAAAGUUGACGGUAACCUGUGGAGGAAGCCACGGCUAACUACGUGCCAGCAGCCGC
rnacentral:rRNA from 1 species